AGCAAGGGGAAAUGGAGCUCCAGCUCCUUCUCAAUUGACGACGUUUGGCGGUUCCGCAAAUGGUGGGGGAGUUCCUGGUGGAAGAAAGCACCGAGCUGGAUGAGGUUCUAGCGUCACUCUCAAACGUCCCAAUCACCGAUCCAUCUCGCAUAACAGCAACGCGCUUCCGGCCAGGCCCAUUCUUCUUCCGGGGUUGGCCGAUACACUCCAUCACCGUCUUCUGUACGUUCUCUGGGAUCAUCUACCGGUGUCAACACCACCGCACUAAAAACAAAAAAAAAAAAAACGAUCAUUCCUUCCUCCACCUCCUUCUCCUCUUGCCAUUACUGUCGCUUCCGGCAAUCCGCCGAUGGUUAUCCUUCACUGAGGAUCCUCAUCGACUUUCCCGCCGCCACCGUCGGCUCCCUAUCAACACGUCAUUCAUUUGCAUGGCAAUCCCGUCUAAACGGUCAGCCUUCAGAUUGACCGCCAGCAAGUUCAAGCACUGAUUUCAGAACGCGGAAGCGGGCGGCCCUUGGUCUGACGAUGCGCAUGCGCAUUCGGUCGACCUCGCGCAUCAAAAGGAGCCAGUGCCAGCCCCGUCGAUUCCGGAUCGAGGGCCCAAUCAGUCCAUCAGUCAAGUCAUCACACACACGGAGAUCCUGGCCGAUCAAUUUUAUGUCGCGGUCGGAAAAGCGUCUGGAAAAGCGGCUCGAGUUCAGAUGAAAUGAUUGGCCGGAUCAAAAGCUUUUUUUUGUUUUGUUGUGUUUGUUUUGUCUUGUAAAUAUUUGUCAUAGAACGAAAAUAUUUUGGUAGGCUGAAAUCGUUUUCACCACUCUUUCGCUGUUAUUUUAUCGCUUUUUUUUUCAUUAAGUCGACUCUUUGCUUGUAAAUAUUGAUAAGGCCCCUUUCCUCCUUUAUUUCCAACGAUUUUAUCUUUUUUUAAAUUUGAAAAUCAAAUCGUCGAACUUGUUGCCUUGAUCAAGGAGUUCCGUGCCCAAAUAGAAUUUGUAUCCCGCCUUGAUUGCGCGGAUACAAAACAACAUUAAAAGUUUUGAUUGAAACCUAGCGCUGUUCCCAUGUCCCGCAUCGGAUCCUUUCUCGCUCUCCGGUUGCAUCUCAUCCGUCGUCAAUGAUCCAACUGGCGAAGCACUUGCUGUCCCAGCCGAUGACUCAUCCCCUUGCGAUCUGAAUAUUAGUUUAUUUUGUAUUCAUUUGGUUCAUGUGUAGAAACACGAAAUAUAUGCAUCAACAAUGA